rnacentral:rRNA from 1 species
CCUGCUCAAUGCAUAUAAAUAGCCGCUUAUAGUGCUAAGGUAGCAUAAUAAUUUGCUCUUUAAUUAGGAGAUAGAAUGAAAGGAAUAACGAUUUAUUAACUGUUUCUAUAAAAUCCUAUUUAAAUUAAAAUAUAUGUAAAAACUCCUAUACAACCAGGCAGGACGACAAGACCCUGAUGAACUUUACUCAAAGUUAUGCUGGGGCGGCAUAAAACAAAAUCUUUCACAACUCCAUAAUUAAAGCUCCAAUUGAACCAAACCAAGUUACCACAGGGAUAACAGCAUUAUAAUCUCACAAAGCUCCCAUUUAAUAGAUUGAUUAUGACCUCGAUGUUGAAUUAAUCCCCUUUUCACAGAAAAAAGCGAAAAAGAAAGUCUGUUCGACUUAUUAACCAUUACAU